UUUUCAAAUGAAUUGUCUUCAUCUGCUUUUAUACCCCCAUUGCCUUAGCUUUAUAGGAAAAUUUGCACAAUCUUAUUGCUUAUGAAAAAGCAAGAAAAAAAGCUAAUAUGUUUCAAUAUGAUUGAAGAUGGGUUUUUCUUCUGUGAGCUCAAGAGUUAUGUGGCAACAGGACCAAAAUAAUGUCAUGCAACAGACCAAUAAUCACUAAUGACAUUGUUCAAAUAUGCCACCGUGCAAAUGAACUACACUAUGUUGUGGAUCGAAUAUAGGAAAAUUAUGUAACUUAUAUCACAAACAACAAACUCUGUAGGAAAAAAAAAAAAAAAAGAGAGGGAAAUGUACCAAAUACUGCAGUUUCUGCCAGUUAUUUUAUUGAAACAAUUAAGAAUAUUUUUCUUUUAAAUUGCAUUCAGUUAAUGUGCAUUUAUGAAUGUGAUGUCAGUAAGAAUAGAGUGUAUUAGUCAAAUCUGUGUUCGAGGAAUAUGAAUAGUAUUUAUUAACCAUAAAAUUCCCAUGAUGUUAAUAGAUAUACUAGCAUAGUUUUUUAAGUAUUUUGAAAAGAAGGAAAAAAAAAUUAUGAAGGAGUGACUUCUAAGUGAAUUUUACAAAAAAAAAUCAACAUUAAAUAAAUGCAAUUUUUCAUCUGGAUCUAAUCUAAAGUUUCAUGAAAUUUUUCUGUUGAACAAUUAUUCAGAGAGAGGUUGAAUAAAUAUAGUGGUAAAAGCCACAAUGAAGUUUUCCCGAUGAUUUGAAAAAUAAGCAGAAAAGACACUUCUAUCUCCAUCUAUAAGAAAGAUUACUAAUUUCGUUUGUAUUAGUGUUCCACUUUUCUUUUUAAUUUCUUUUAUGGAACAUUUCAGAUUAUAUAAGACUGCAGAAGGGCUGAAAUUUUCAAAGCUACUUUUUGAAUUUAUUGUCAUUAUUAUUAUUAUUUUAAUGAGCAGAUCUGAAGUUUGGAACAAUUCAUUUUCCUAAAUUACAAGUCUUUGGUGUGAUAAUGAGUAUGGGGAUUCCUGUUCCAGCCCAGAUAACUGUUCACCUCAGGAAUGCGCUAUAGAUCCUCUGCCCUCCCAGGAAGACCUACAUGUUUAGAGAAUGCACAGUUAAUUUAAAUCUAUGAGGAAGAACACAAAAGGCAGAUGAUGAUGAUAAAGAAAUAGUAGAGGGGAGAAGAGAGGUUUCUUGCAAUUCUUUCACCCAAGAUGUAACUGUGUUUACACAUAAUAUAUGCUAAAAUCUCAGUUUUAAUAAAUAUCUGGCUUCUAAUGAUGUAGAAAACAAGAUGCACCGUGCCAGUAUUUUACAGCGUGUGAAUGUUUUAUGUAGUUGUCUAUAAAAUGUAACCAGAGAGUUACAAAAACUCAUUAUGGGUAUGAGCUGAAGGGAAAAAAACGUGGUUUAAUUUUGGGAUGUGCUAAUGUGAACGGAAGUCACAAGAGUAGUUGUUUUACUAUAUAAGAAAGGGUUUUUUUUGUUUGUUUGGUUGGUUGUUGGUUUUUUGUUGUUGUUGUUGUUGUUGUUUGUUUGUUUUUGUUUUGCAGUGUCAUCUCAUACACACCUGUUGGAGAAUGAUAUAGCCAAAGAGAAGAAAGCCAAAGAGGAGAGUUCUGUGAUAAAUAAAUCACCCAGCCCCACUGAUUGGACUCAAGUGGGAAGGCAUCAUGGUAGUUGGCACUGUGUAGGAGGAUGCUUUCAACAGUGAAACUAUUUGAGGAAAAAGCAGGUGCACUGCAGUAAUGUAAUGACAAAAGUAAUGGAAGGAGCCCAGCCUCUCCUUGAAGCAGCAGAGACUGUCAGCCUCCUAUGGCCAAGUGACAGCAGCACUGAGAUCUUGGUGCUUUAUGCCUCCUCCAACACUUCCAUGUGAUUGAAGUGACUUUGUCCUUGCUGGUGCCUUCAGUCCCUGAAGGAAGGUACCUUUUGGGACCUGAAAUGCUGUCUUUGCUGCAAUGCCACCAGCAGCUACAGUUUUCCUCCUGCUAAAUCCUUGUGAAACAAUAUGUGUUAUGUUUUGCUUUAUAAAUAAUCAGUUUUCGUAAACUUAUAUGUCAGCUGUUUGACAAGCACAUUGUUCCACGGUAAUAAAUACAAGUCUGUGUCCAAACAUCACAAGUAAAAAAAAUAAAUCCUUUGGGGCUACAACUUCAUGUUCAGCAGAUGAGGUUCUGUUCAACCUGGAGCUCUGUAACUGUGAUGAACACAGAACAGCAGAGGAGGAAAUCUUCCCUCUACUUUGCCCCCCUCGACAACGUUUUCAAGAAAAGAUCAGACAGUUUUUUAAUGCCUGGGGAAAAACAGAACGUGACCCACAGUCUAUUUAGGCAGUUCCAUUUCUGCUUGCUAUUUUUAAAAGCAUACACAAUAUUUAAAAAUAAUUAGCUCAAGCCCAUUUGUGUGCAAUGUAUAUAUUGCACAUAUGUCUAGACAGAACAAGAAACAACAUAAUCACAACCUUACUACACUAAAGGCCUUGGCAUAAGAACCACUGAGAGAGUGAAAGCCAAAGAGAUUGUACCUGUCAUAUGUAUUUCCCUCAUCUAAAUGUAUUAAAACAAAACAAAAACAAACUUUUAUUUUGCUCAGAGUUUAACCCUGUGUACAUAGUAGUUAUUUCAGUCUUUACUACAGUUAUUAAUGUUCACGUACAGUAAAACAUGAGACAGAAAACUGUAUGUCUUCUUUUUCUGCAACUUCAAAUUUCAUCUGUUCCUUGUGGAAAGGAAAUGUAUCUUCAGAUAAGCACACACAUUUUUUUCCCUGAAUGUCUCUGUGUGGCAAGGAAGGCUGUAUGGAGCAAAAGUGGGUUUUAUUCUGCAAAUGUGAGCAUGUGUAUCUGCAGUCUUCUGUCCCUUUAAAAUUUAAUUACACAGUAUAAUAAGGUUGCUAUGUAUGUAUAAUAUUAUCAUAUUUAGUGAAUCAUAGGGCUGGAUAUAAGGAAGAAUCUCUAUUGAGUCAAAAUCUCCCAGAGGCGUUACUAGAGCUUGGACUGGCACAUGGCUAAUGCUUUUCUAUUUCUUUUCAUUCAACACCAAGGCUAACUAUACUUGCAAAGAAAAAGAUCCAGUUGAAUAAAAUCCAUAAGAAGCCUGCUGUAAUUACAUAAUUUGAGUAAAUUUAUGCCUUAGGACUUCCUUAAGAAUAGAAAUUUUCUGAACAGAAACAGUGUAUUUCUAGGGAGUGCAAGUAAGGAGCUUCAAAGCACUCCUUAUCUCAGUGAUCUUGCAGGAGUUGGGUUAGAUUUUCCCUGCUAUAGAGUACACUUCUUCACUUUGCAGCACACUGUAAACACACUUUUCAUGGCAAUGUCUUGUUUUGUUUAGUUUCACAGAAUAUGCAUUGGUAAUUUGUGCAUCACAUGCUGGCAAGCAGUAUCGCAGUGCACACUUGCUAAUGUGAGACAGAAACCUCAGUGUAUUCUAGCCCUCUUCUCAUAUCUUGUUAGCAUCUGUUAUUGGUAGGCUGAGGUGAUGAGGUGCUAAUAUGAUACAGCAAAGGAAGUGUAAUCCAUGAACAUUUUUGUGUCACAUUUGUGUAAUAUAUUACACUAAUCUGACCAGACUUUCAUGUGCUCUUACCCAAGGAAUGCCAUUCCACCCUCCUCCCUUCCCCCAUCAAUACCUUUGAAGGUUUGUGAACGAUUUCCUGUACACAGCCCGUGUAAGAAUGUGCACACAUUCUUUCCAUGGUUGAGGAAGGAGUGCUUUUUAUUCCUGCUUGCUCUCAGUGUAACAAUGUUCAUGAACAAAUUGCACUAAAGAGCAAAGCAUGUUCAAUUAUAUUCUUUCACAGCUGAGAGGUAAAUGAAGUAGAAGGUGCAUUCUUUCCAAUAAACUUCAGAUCCAUUCAGCAUGCUUCAUGCAGUGUCUAGGGGCAAUUUUUUAGCAUAACUUUUAUAAGGCAACAGUGUGCAGGUUGUAGAGCAAAACAAGUGGGAUAUGUGAACUGGCAGCCAUUGUGUUUUUUUUCUAAGAGAUACAGUCAACCUGUGGCAUCUUGCAGACCUUAUUACCUAUCCUUAGACAAUUUGCCAGGUCUGUUUUUCAGAUCCAUGAUUAGUUUUGCCCUAGACUAUCCAUUCUUCAGCAAUAGCUGUCUCUUCCUAUGCAUCUACACAGCUUUAACACAUUGGUCUCCUACUCCCAACUGAAACUACUUGUCAGUACUGCAAUCAAAACAAAUGCAGUAAAAA